CUUGCUUUCUUUGCUGGCGACCGGCGCACGGGUGAGUAACACGUAUCCAACCUGCCCUUUACUCGGGGAUAGCCUUUCGAAAGAAAGAUUAAUAUCCGAUAGCAUAUAUUUCCCGCAUGGGUUUUAUAUUAAAGAAAUUCGGUAUGAGAUGGGGAUGCGUUCCAUUAGUUUGUUGGGGGGUAACGGCCCACCAAGACUACGAUGGAUAGGGGUUCUGAGAGGAAGGUCCCCCACAUUGGAACUGAGACACGGUCCAA
rnacentral:rRNA from 1 species